CCUACGGGAGGCUGCAGUGAGGAAUAUUGGUCAAUGGACGCAAGUCUGAACCAGCCAUGCCGCGUGCAGGAUGACGGCUCUAUGAGUUGUAAACUGCUUUUGUACGAGGGUAAACCCCGAUACGUGUAUCGUGUUGAAAGUAUCGUACGAAUAAGGAUCGGCUAACUCCGUGCCAGCAGCCGCGGUAAUACGGAGGAUCCGAGCGUUAUCCGGAUUUAUUGGGUUUAAAGGGUGCGUAGGCGGUUUGAUAAGUUAGAGGUGAAAUGUCGGGGCUCAACCCCGAAACUGCCUCUAAUACUGUUGGACUAGAGAAUAGUUGCGGUAGGCGGAAUGUAUGGUGUAGCGGUGAAAUGCUUAGAGAUCAUACAGAACACCGAUUGCGAAGGCAGAUUACCAAACUAUAUCUGACGUUGAGGCACGAAAGCGUGGGUAGCAAACAGGAUUAGAUACCCUAGUAGUC
rnacentral:rRNA from 1 species